rnacentral:rRNA from 1 species
CCUACGGGCGGCAGCAGUGGGGAAUAUUGCACAAUGGGGGAAACCCUGAUGCAGCGACGCCGCGUGAGUGAAGAAGUAUUUCGGUAUGUAAAGCUCUAUCAGCAGGGAAGAAAUAGCGACCUUUGGGUCGCCAGACGGUACCUGAAGAAAAAGCAUCGGCUAACUCCGUGCCAGCAGCCGCGGUAAUACGGAGGAUGCGAGCGUUAUCCGGAUUUAUGGGGUUUAAAGGGUGCGCAGGCGGCCUGUUAAGUCAGCGGUAAAAGCCCGUGGCUCAACCCCGGCGAGCCGUUGAAACUGGCGGGCUGGAGUUGGAGAGAAGUACGCGGAAUGCGUGGUGUAGCGGUGAAAUGCUUAGAGAUCGCGCAGAACCCCGAUUGCGAAGGCAGCGUACCGGCUCCACACUGACGCUGAGGCACGAAAGCGUGGGUAGCGAACAGGAUUAGAUACCCGAGUAGUC